rfam:Methylotenera versatilis 301, complete genome.
CUUGGCGGCCAUAGCGGUUUGGACCCACCCCUUCCCAUCUCGAACAGGGCCGUGAAACGAACCAGCGCCAAUGAUAGUAUGCUUUUUUGCAUGCGAAAGUAGGUCACUGCCAAGC